UUUUUUGUUUUUUUUUUUUACUUCAGUCAGAAUGCAUGGCAGCUUUUCAGCCUAGUUUACCCCACACGUACACACAUUUACACACUCACACACAGGACGUCCUCAAUCACGGUGACAUGUCUCACAAGUUCUUUAUCCUCGUACUAAGCCUUUCAUUUGAACUUCAGGAUGUGUGCAGUGAACUCUGUGUGAAUACACAUCAGCAGUACAGUGUGGAUAAUAUUUUCUGGCCCAAUAUCACAUGUCAGCAUGAUGGAAAGACAGAAUGGAAAGUUCAGGCCAGGCUGAUUGAGAAGAGAAUCAUUUGUGAUAUGCGCAGCAGACAAACAUGUGAUUUGUCUCAAGAUGGGAACCAGUUCAAAUUUACAUUGAAGAAUACAACUUCCACACCAAAAUCCUCAGUGUAUAUAUGUGAGGUUUACAGAAGCAGCCCGGCUCCAGUCAUUAUUAGAGAGAGCGAAGAAUUAACGUUGAAUUCAGGUAGGGUGCCAUGUUCCUGAUACACAGGCGACGGACCCUGGAAAUGCUUGCCUCUCUCAUGGCUUUUUCAGCCUUCCUGUCCGGGUCACCUGGGCUCUGAUUGGACUAGCGAUUUUGUUGUGUCUCUAUAGUCUGACAGUUACCAUUCUCUAUGUCAGACUAAGGAUCAAAAUGUCUGAAGAUCUGUAUGACACACUGACAUAUGUUCCAAUGCAGAGGAAUGUGAGAUGCCAAGUUCCAGACAAGAAUGCCGAGUACAUGGACAUGCGUGUGGUGCAACUUCAGCCGGGCUCCAGCCGUGACACGAGCCAUAACUCACAUCACCACAGUCCUGUCGGAUUUACCAAGUGAUUCAUUUGCACAUGUUUAUGGUUUCUGAUUUGCUAUCCUUUUUUCCCAAAUCAAAUCCAUUUUGGGCAUCAUCAUGCCUAAUGUGCCGGACAUCAUGUCAGACAACCAGAUGGACACAUGUUGGACAUUUUGUAUUUUCCUGUAUUUUUACAAAUCUAAAAAAUACUCUUUAUUAUUUAGCUGCAAUAACGUGUUCUGUUCUUAUGAUGUGAUAUGGUAAAACAAUAUCACUUCACUGUAAUGUGAUAAAGUUCUGUGAUUCAAUGCGUAACAUUCUGUGAUGGAAACAAUGGCCGCAAUUGUCUGCACUAAUGUUGGCUAACUAGCAUAUCCAGACCUUGUACACACAGAGACAAGCCUUAUGAUAGCUGAACUAACAACAAUGUGCAGUAAAAUCUAGGAAAAGUAGUAUUGUGGUGAUAGACAAUAUUUAAUUAAUUCAGGCUGAAAAAAGCCAAAAUGUUUAAUUAUGUUUCUCCUACAUAUUUCAUGUAACCAUUUCUUUGUGUUGAUUGUUUUAGUAAAUGUAUGCUAUUUAAUGUGUCUUAAAUUGUCUAAAAUGUUUCCUCUUUAUACACCUAUACCUAUAUACAUCUAUGCCAAAGGGCAUAUGUCAGCAUUCCUGUAAAUCAUCAUAUA